GGAUGUAGCGCAGUUGGUAGCGCGCUUGGUUUGGGACCAAGAUGUCGCAGGUUCGAAUCCUGUCAUCC
rnacentral:tRNA from 1 species